rnacentral:lncRNA from 1 species
UCGCUUCAUGCAAUUGGCAAAUAUAACAGCAAAGGAGAAUAUUUGGUGCAUAAAGUUUAUAUUUGCUCUAAUCUGAAAUAUCCUUUCGGACUACAAUACCAUCAUCAAAUAGCGGGCUGCAACAACACAAAUAAUAUCCUGCAAAGUUUUCCAAGUUUUUCCCUUAUGCAACAGGGUCAGCCCAAAGAAGGGGAGCAUUACUGGUUGUAGUCG